rnacentral:rRNA from 1 species
GGUAGAGGAGUGCUACACAUGCAGUCGACGAGAAGGGGUCUUCGGCCCUGAGUAAAGUGGCAAACGGGUGAGUAACACGUGAGUAAUCUCCCCUUGAUUUUGGAAUAACAGCCUGAAAAGGUUGCUAAUACCAAAUGAUAUCCCGGGAUGGCAUCAUUCCGGGAUCAAAGAUGGCCUCUCCAUGGAAGCUGUCGAUCAGGGAUGAGCUCGCGCACCAUUAGCUUGUUGGUAGGGUAAUGGCCUACCAAGGCUAAGAUGGUUAGCCGGCCUGAGAGGGUGUCCGGCCACACUGGGACUGAGACACGGCCCAGACUCCUACGGGAGGCAGCAGUGGGGAAUAUUGCGCAACGGGGGAAACCCUGACGCAGCAACGCCGCGUGAAUGAUGAAGGCCUUCGGGUCGUAAAGUUCUGUCGGAUGGGAAGAAAUGCAUAAUGGUCAAAACCCAUUAUGUUUGACGGUACCAUCAAAGGAAGCCCCGGCUAACUCCGUGCCAGCAGCCGCGGUAAUACGGAGGGGGCAAGCGUUGUUCGGAAUUACUGGGCGUAAAGGGCGCGUAGGCGGCCCUGUAAGUUAGGUGCUAAAGCCCUCGGCUUAACCGAGGAUCCGCAUCUAAGACUGCAAGGCUAGAGUACAGGAGAGGAGAGCGGAAUUCCCAGUGUAGCGGUGAAAUGCGUAGAUAUUGGGAGGAACACCGGUGGCGAAGGCGGCUCUCUGGACUGAUACUGACGCUGAGGCGCGAAAGCUAGGGGAGCAAACAGGAUUAGAUACCCUGGUAGUCCUAGCUGUAAACGAUGGACACUAGGUGUGGGAGGUAUCGACUCCUUCCGUGCGUAGCUAACGCAUUAAGUGUCCCGCCUGGGAGUACUGGUCGCAAGACU